UAGGGAAUCUUCGGCAAUGGACGGAAAGUCUGACCGAGCAACGCCGCGUGAGUGAAGAAGGUUUUCGGAUCGUAAAACUCUGUUGGUAGAGAAGAACGUUGGUGAGAGUGGAAAGCUCAUCAAGUGACGGUAACUACCCAGAAAGGGACGGCUAACUACGUACCAG
rnacentral:rRNA from 1 species